rnacentral:rRNA from 1 species
UACGUAGGGGGCAAGCGUUGUCCGGAAUCAUUGGGCGUAAAGAGCGUGUAGGCGGCCACUUAAGUCCUGCGUGAAAUCUUGCGGCUCAACCGCAAGCGGUCGUGGGAAACUGGGUGGCUAGAGUGCGGGAGAGGAGAGUGGAAUUCCUGGUGUAGCGGUGGAAUGCGCAGAUAUCAGGAAGAACACCCGUGGCGAAGGCGGCUCUCUGGAACGCAACUGACGCUGAGACGCGAAAGCGUGGGGAGCAAACAGG